rnacentral:lncRNA from 1 species
GGGUAAUUAAGGUUGCAAAAUGGCGAGGGGGGAGGUAAGCUGUCUUUGCUUGGCCAUCUUGGGCUAGCAGGCCUUGCAGAGAACUACCUUUUUAGCUGAGUGAAGGGAUCAACCUGAGUUGGAGUUCUCCUAUGCUGUGGCCAGAUCCACUAGAAAUUAACCCAGAAUCUUAGCCUCUCAGUGGCCUAUCGGUGAUGCCACACUCAAUCAGAAACUAUGCUACUGCUGAAGAGGUAUAUUGAGCCCUGCCUGGUUAACCUCCAGUGAGGUUAUUAGAGAAUUGGGAGAGGCUCAAAUCAGCAUCCUGCACCUAGUUAUCAAACCAUUGUGAAGUCUUGAUUCCUGGAUGGCCAGAAAACUUGUCAUUGGUCAAGAGCAACAUUAAGAUCUGCCUGUUACUCAUACUGAUGCUUCCUGCCCAGCAAGUUCAUCAGAGGGCGAGGAUGAAUUACGGUUGCCAUGAAUGUCCUUGUGAGGCAGUUGGGAAGCCUUGGCUGGAUUGUGAAGGAUAUUUGAAAAGUAUUUUAGAGUCCACCAGAUCAUCCAUGUGAGUGACCAUGCAGCAAAAGAAGGAGGGUCCUCUCAGUGAUUAAGGAUUAUGAAGUAUUAAUUCUUCCACUGAUAUCUCAAAAGGUGAUCUGGACAAAGGAACAGGUAUCUCAGACCUCCUGGCGUGGCUACUAACAAGUGGCAUCCAUGUUCUAAGACCUGAAUUUGCUGACCAAUAUCAGCAUCACCAUAAACUACACAAGGAUGAACUCUAGGCUGCCUUCAAAGCUUUUCCUGGACCAUCUAUAUAUAUCUGACUCAGUACGGGUAAAAGAAAUGCUGCAGUUUUCCCAGACCCUGCUUGGGCACAAGACAUUAAGUCUCUUUUUUUCCCCUAAUAAUAGGAAUGGCAUGUUUUGCAGUGGAGUAGGAUGAGUAUAGUAAGUAAGCUCUGUAAGGUCCUCUGAGCUGGCCGCACCAUGGUCAAGCCAUCGUGACAUUCCCCCGCCCUUGUGAUAAUGUACUUUGUGAUAUUCCCCAUCCUUGUGAAGGUAGUUUGUAACAUUCCCCGCCCUUGUGACAAUACACCCUCCCCGCCCUUGUUAAUGUAUUUGUAACAUCCAUCCCCUGCCUGCAAAAAAUUGCUUCUGACUCCACUGCCUAUCCCAAACCUAUAAGAAUAAAUGAUAAUCCCACCACCCUUUGCUGACUCCUUUCUUGGAUUCAGCCCACUUGCACCCAAGUGAAUAAACAGCCUUGUUGCUUACA